rnacentral:rRNA from 1 species
CGGUAGGUAGGGUCGGGACGGGGUACGGGUAGGUAACGGACCGGUCGGGUCGGAACCCUACGCCCGACCUACAGGGGGGAUAACAGCCGGAAACGACCGCUAAUACCGCAUAAGCCGGAAGGAUCGCAUGAUUCGGCCGGAAAAGAUUUAUCGGUGUGAGAUGGACCCGCGUCUGAUUAGCCAGUUGGCAGGGUAACGGCCUACCAAAGCGACGAUCAGUAGCCGGCCUGAGAGGGUGAACGGCCACAUUGGGACUGAGACACGGCCCAAACUCCUACGGGAGGCAGCAG